rnacentral:rRNA from 1 species
GACGAACGCUGGCGACGUGCCUAAUACAUGCAAGUCGAACGCUUUGAUUUUCACCGGAGCUUGCUCCACCGAAAAUCAAAGAGUGGCGGACGGGUGAGUAACACGUGGGCAACCUGCCCAACAGAGGGGGAUAACACUUGGAAACAGGUGCUAAUACCGCAUAAUUUGUUUUCCCGCAUGGGAGAAUAAUAAAAGACGCUUCGGUGUCACUGUUGGAUGGGCCCGCGCUGCAUUAGUUAGUUGGUGGGGUAAUGGCCUACCAAGACCGUGAUGCAUAGCCGACCUGAGAGGGUGAUCGGCCACACUGGGACUGAGACACGGCCCAGACUCCUACGGGAGGCAGCAGUAGGGAAUCUUCGGCAAUGGACGAAAGUCUGACCGAGCAACGCCGCGUGAGUGAAGAAGGUUUUCGGAUCGUAAAACUCUGUUGUUAGAGAAGAACAAGUGGGAGAGUAACUGUUCCCACCUUGACGGUAUCUAACCAGAAAGCCACGGCUAACUACGUGCCAGCAGCCGCGGUAAUACGUAGGUGGCAAGCGUUGUCCGGAUUUAUUGGGCGUAAAGCGAGCGCAGGCGGUUUCUUAAGUCGGAUGUGAAAGCCCUCGGCUCAACCGAGGAAGGUCAUUGGAAACUGGGGAACUUGAAUGCAGAAGAGGAGAGUGGAAUUCCAUGUGUAGCGGUGAAAUGCGUAGAUAUAUGGAGGAACACCAGUGGCGAAGGCGACUCUCUGGUCUGUAAUUGACGCUGAGGCUCGAAAGCGUGGGGAGCAAACAGG